AAACUUACCUGGCAGGGGAGACACCAUGAUCACAAAGGUGGUUUUCCCGGGGCGAGGCUUACCCAUUGUACUCCGGACGUGCUGACCCCUGCGAUGUCCCCCAAUGUGGGAAACUUGACUGCAUGAUUUGUGGUAGUGGGGGACCACGUUUGUGUGUUCCCCUU
ensembl:snRNA U1 U1 spliceosomal RNA